rnacentral:rRNA from 1 species
UACGAAGGGGGGCUAGCGUUACUCGGAUGACUGGGCGUAAAGGGCGCGUAGGCGGUUUGUACAGUCAGACGUGAAAUUCCUGGGCUCAACCUGGGGGCUGCGUUUGAUACGUGCGGACUUGAGUUCGGAAGAGGGUCGUGGAAUUCCCAGUGUAGAGGUGAAAUUCGUAGAUAUUGGGAAGAACACCGGUGGCGAAGGCGGCGACCUGGUCCGAUACUGACGCUGAGGAGCGAAAGCAUGGGUAGCGAACAGG